AGAGAGAGAUAGAGAAAAUGUGUGUGAGAGAUGAUUGUUAUGAGUCCUUUUUCUUUUCUUGUAAGAUGGUAUUUAUAAGUGAUGAGUUUCAAAAGUUCUCAAACUUUGCUUGGCUGAUCAGUUUCUCAUUUUUUUCUCAAGAUGCCAUAGUUUUGAUGUGAAAAUACUGAAAUGACCUUGUACAGGUAGCAAUAUUUUGGUGCGGGAGUUGAAGUAAGAAGGGGGUUAAUUAGUCAUAAGACAAGAAACAAAUGGAAACGUGAUGAGAUUGUUGUCCAUUUGCUUGAUUGGUCGGUUACUUUGUCCUCUUAGAACUGAUCACUUUUUUUAUUCAUAUGGAUUGCAGGGUAUGAAGAAGGAAAAGAAUGGAAUCUUUUCUUUUUCUAAUCCUUUGCUCAAUCAAAGAACAAUUCAGAACAAUAAGCAAUCCGAUUAUUCUGCGCUUAUAUCGACCGAGAAGGAUUGGAUUAGCAAUGGGUUGUUCUCCAUUGAUGAAAAGCUUCAAUUAUAAUGCUGUAAACCAUGUGGCUUGUGAAUAUUGAUGUUGUGGGUGGAUAAUAAUGUGAUGAAAUGAAAUCCUUUUAUAUAUUUAGAGGAUUUUUAGG